GACGAACGCUGGCGGCGUGCUUAACACAUGCAAGUCGAACGAAGUGGCGAACGGGUGAGUAAUACGUGGGAACCUGCCCUCCUUUUUGGGAUAAGCCUUGGAAACGGGGUCUAAUACCGACUAAAGGGGGAUGGGCUCGCGGCCUAUCAGCUGGUGGGUGGGGUGAUGGCCUACCAGGGCGGUGACGGGUAGCCGGCCUGAGAGGAGGAUCAGUCACACUGGAACUGAGACACGGUCCAGACUCCUACGCGAGGCAGCAGUGGGGAAUAUUGGACAAUGGGCGCAAGCCUGAUCCAGCCAUGCCGCGUGUGUGAAGAAGGUCUUCGGAUUGUAAAGCACUUUAAGUUGGGAGGCGUUACCAACAGAAUAAGCACCGGCUAACUUCGUGCCAGCAGCCGCGGUAAUAC
rnacentral:rRNA from 1 species